AGAAAUGACAUCAGAAACUGGAAGAGGAAUUAUCAACGAAUUUCACCCUUCACCCAGUUUCAAUGAGCUCACCUAUGAAUGUAAACUAGAAAUCACAAGUCCCAUGUGAGAAGAAAAGACCUGGGGAGCCAUGUGAGAUUUCCCAGUUUCUUCCUGCUUGGUAAGAGUGGGGAUGAAGUGAGGAGACAACAUCCUUAUCAAUGUCUGACUUCUAUACUUUUCAGUCCUUAAGGCUUUGCUUUCAAUCUGCCCUGUGGGGAUCCCCGAGAAAUCUUGGAAGCUGUGUUACUGGCGAUGAUGGGACAAGAGAUUGGACACACCUCGUUAUACCCCCUCGUCACUAACUGACAUUAAGUAUUGCUUCUUAUGGAUUAAACAGAAACGAGCCAUUCUGAAAGACUCCACACCAAUAUCAACAAACUCCCUGAUGCUUUCCCUCCCUGUCUGCAGUUUCAACACAACUAACCAGUACUUCUCUCUUAUAAGACCAUCAACCACUGAGUGGUUCUGGCAAGUCUAUGGAGGAUGCACAGUGAGGUUUUUUUUUGUGUCCUGUUUUUCACCUUUUGACAUCAGAGGGCCAAAAUCUCUACCCUCAAAUCAUGCUAAUGCUGCCAUGGGACCCAUGGAGAGGCAUGAAGCUCAAUUGUACAUAUGCAUGCUUGUCCUUUCAUAAAUAUGCAUUACUCCUCUUAUAGCUUAUGAAUAUGCAUAUUUGGCCACCCCAUUCAGCAUAAAUCCCUGUCUUGUUCUCCCAAUCCUUGAAGUGCCUGUUUAUAGCCUCUAGGCCAGAGACUAUGCUUCCCAGCCUGUCAGAAUGGCCACCCUGCAGACUGCAAGCCAUUAUGAGAAAUAAAGCACUCUUUUUAAAAUUUAUGAACCUUGUCAUUCUUCAGUUGACAGUUUUAAGCUGAUAGAAAGAACUAUUAGUACUACUUUUAUGCUUAACAUUACAAAAUGUUUUUCUUUGUAGGAGGGAAAUCACAGGUAAAAUACAUCUUCAAAGGCAACCUAAAAUAGAAACAGU
rnacentral:lncRNA from 10 species